rnacentral:rRNA from 1 species
AUAUCAAAUAAGCGGAGGAAAAGAAACUAACUAGGAUUCCCUUAGUAACGGCGAGUGAACCGGGAUGAGCUCAAAUUUAAAAUCUGGCGUCUUUCAGGCGUCCGAGUUGUAAUCUAUAGAGGCGUUUUCCGCGCCGGACCGCGUCCAAGUCUCUUGGAAUAGAGUAUCAAAGAGGGUGACAAUCCCGUACUUGACGCGACAACCGGUGCUCUGUGAUACGUUCUCAAUGAGUCGAGUUGUUUGGGAAUGCAGCUCUAAAUGGGUGGUAAAUUCCAUCUAAGGCUAAAUAUUGGCGAGAGACCGAUAGCGAACAAGUACCGUGAGGGAAAGAUGAAAAGCACUUUGGAAAGAGAGUUAAACAGCACGUGAAAUUGUUAAAAGGGAAACGAUUGAAGUCAGUCGUGUGAAAGGUAUUCAGCCGUCUCUGGCGGUGUAUUUGCCUUUCACGGGUCAACAUCAGUUUGAUCCGGUAGAAAAAGGCAGGAGGAAGGUGGCACCCUCGGGUGUGUUAUAGCCUCUUGUCAUAUGUGCCGGACCAGACUGAGGAACGCAGCUUGCCGCAAGGCCGGGGUUCGCCCACGUACAAGCUUAGGAUGUUGACAUAAUGGCUUUAAACGACCCGUCUUGAA